rnacentral:rRNA from 1 species
UACGGAGGGAGCUAGCGUUGUUCGGAAUUACUGGGCGUAAAGCGCACGUAGGCGGCUUUUCAAGUUCAGGGGUGAAAUCCCGGGGCGUCAACCUCGGAACUGCCCUUGAAACUGGAAAGCUAGAAUCCUGGAGAGGCGAGUGGAAUUCCGAGUGUAGAGGUGAAAUUCGUAGAUAUUCGGAAGAACACUAGUGGCGAAGGCGACUCGCUGGACAGGUAUUGACGCUGAGGUGCGAAAAGCGUGGGGGAGC